rnacentral:rRNA from 1 species
AUUGAACGCUGGCGGAAUGCUUUACACAUGCAAGUCGAACGGCAGCACGGGGCAACCUGGUGGCGAGUGGCGAACGGGUGAGUAAUACAUCGGAACGUGCCCAAUCGUGGGGGAUAACGUAGCGAAAGUUACGCUAAUACCGCAUACGAUCUACGGAUGAAAGCGGGGGAUCGCAAGACCUCGCGCGAAUGGAGCGGCCGAUGUCAGAUUAGGUAGUUGGUGGGGUAAAAGGCUCACCAAGCCAACGAUCUGUAGCUGGUCUGAGAGGACGACCAGCCACACUGGAACUGAGACACGGUCCAGACUCCUACGGGAGGCAGCAGUGGGAAUUUGGACAAUGGGCGUAAGCCUGAUCCAGCCAUGCCGCCGUGAGUGAAGAAAGGCCU